rnacentral:rRNA from 1 species
AGUGAACGCUGGCGGUAGGCCUAACACAUGCAAGUCGAACGGCAGCACAGUAAGAGCUUGCUCUUACGGGUGGCGAGUGGCGGACGGGUGAGGAAUACAUCGGAAUCUACUUUUUCGUGGGGGAUAACGUAGGGAAACUUACGCUAAUACCGCAUACGACCUACGGGUGAAAGCAGGGGAUCUUCGGACCUUGCGCGAUUGAAUGAGCCGAUGUCGGAUUAGCUAGUUGGCGGGGUAAAGGCCCACCAAGGCGACGAUCCGUAGCUGGUCUGAGAGGAUGAUCCGCCAAACUGGAAUUGAGACACGGUCCAGACUCCUACGGGAGGCAGCAGUGGGGAAUAUUGGACAAUGGGCGCAAGCCUGAUCCAGCCAUACCGCGUGGGUGAAGAAGGCCUUCGGGUUGUAAAGCCCUUUUGUUGGGAAAGAAAAGCAGCAGGUUAAUACCCCGCUGUUCUGACGGUACCCAAAGAAUAAGCACCGGCUAACUUCGUG